UGUGAGCUGAGUGCGGCAGCGGUAACCGUUCACAGCCGCUUCCUGUCGCUCAGACAGAGGGAGCGAGAGGGGGGAGGAAGGACGCAGAAUGGCGAACGUGCAGUGCUCCAAAUGCACGGCCGAAAGGAAAGGGUUUCGGCGGGAACUUGAUUCUUGGCGACACAAAUUGAUACACUGCAUUGGGUUUGAAAGCAUUCUGGAGGGAAUCAGUGGCCCACUGCUGAGGGACCUGCAUUUAUUUGAUGACUGCGAACCUGAAGACGUGGAUGACUGGUCCCCAGAAAGAAGUUGCUCUCAAUGUUCAUUCUGCAACCUUCCCCUGGACAAACUCAGCAGUGAUCAAGUACCUGCAGCCACCUCGCCCCUCUCCUCCCCCUCUGAUUACUCUCCCUGUCAGGCUCAAACUAUCUCUGAGAGCAGCCAAUCAGCGCACAGGUUUCUCCAAGCUGUGUUUUACAAGAAAGAUGUUUCCCUGGGCUGCGAUUCCAACAUCCCUCUGGUUGCAGAGGAGCUAAUGAAGAAGAUGAUACAUCAGUUUGCCUUGGAGUAUGCAUCCAAGUGCCUACUUCACACCAGUACAAAUGGUGUUACAACAAGGACCUCAUCACCUCUGUCACAAACAUCAGAUGCCCCUCUGGACCUCACAGUGAGCCGAACAGGGGACGAGAAAGAAAGUGAAAGCGACCCAGAUGCCGUGCUAGACCUCUCCAACAGGAACCAUGCCUGCUCAGUAACUUCAUCAGCGUCAUCUAAUCGAAAAGCCUCAGGCUCCCUGCCAUCAUUUAUGGAAGAAUGUGGAGAUCCAGGACAUCGUGGGACUAAGUAUCGUCAGAGCUCUGCAUUGGGUGCUGUUCUCAGCUCGCUCUGCUCAACACACCACUCCUUACUCUAUCAGAUCCUGAAGCUGGCACAUCAGGACUUUAUCAGAGAUGAAGGUCAAGCUGAAUCGCACUGCUGUCACUGUGGCGUAAACCCACAGGAUAUUCUUAGCCCUAAUGCAGUCCCAUUCAGUGAAUGUAAAGCCCACAACAGCAGCCCGUACAACCCGUUAAUUGAUUUUGGUCAUCAAGGUCAUGGCAGCACAAUGUUUCAUGCAGGAGAUUCCACAACGAGUUGUAGCAUCCGUCACUACCCUUUAACAGACUGUGAAAGUGACCCUCCAUUGGGCUUGAAGUACUGCUGUGUACAGAGGAGCAGGAGGGAAACCUACACUGUUAUGUACCCCAUGAGGCUGCACUGCAUUUCCUGCCAAAGCCUGGCUGUAGGUCGUAUGAACAACAAAGUGUGUUCAUUUCCAUCCUCUCCUUCGUUAUCUAAAUCCCCUUCACUGUGCACUCCCUCCUCCAGUUUAUGCCCUUCCUCAUCGAUCUGCUGUAACGAACACAACCCCCACUCCUGUCCCUGUUAUUCAAACCAUGCCUGUCUGACGCAGGUUAGGAACACAAUAGAAAGAGGGGUUGGAGAUGGGGAUCCUCCUUGUCCUGUCCUGAAGAGAGAGCAGAGCCCCUCUCCUCCUCCUCUGUCCCCCAUCACAUCAGACAUCAAUAAGAAAACUGAUGAAAAGCCACCGUCCCUCCUUCACUAUAGACAAGAGGAGGAAGCUGACCUUAUAAUUAAAGAUGUGGAUACAGCCACAGAAGACGAGCGAGAAUGUAGGACCCCAAGAAGAAGUAGUCAGGCUGAGCAGAACCCAAGUGGGACUUCACUGCAAGACGAUGUGAAUCGCUUUAGUGAGAAACAGGAGACAAUCAGGCCUAUAGAGAAGGACCCACCUCUGGUUUUCACAGCGGUUAAUAUCUCUGAAAAGGAGUGGCCACAGUGUCCCUCGACCAGUCAGAACAUGCGGUUUCCGGCUGACGCCCAUUUGACUGAAAUCAUCACAACAGUGCUUCACACAGGCAGUGCUAGUGACUACAAUCUCAGUGAGCUGUUCAAUCGCCAUGAUAGCAAAGAGCCCAGGUCACCUAAUACCCGCUCUCGACGUCGCCAAGAAGUCCUUGCUGCUAUAGCAACACCUGCUGAUGAUGCUUCAACCAGAAGGCAAACCUUACAAACUAAAAGAGAGCUUGUCACGUUUGACCAGUCCUACAGUAAGAGAAAGCUGCCAUUAGGAAAGAGACCAAGAUUGAAAGAUGAAAAUGUUUCUGUAACUACAUUAUCCACAGACUCAAACCUAGUUAAGGAGGAGUCUAAAAGUGAAAUGGAGCUAGGUGCUGAACCUGUAGAGGGUCAAAGAGUUAGGGAGGGACCACUGAAAAUGUUCACUGCAAAAGGUGACAGGGAUGAAGUAAAAGAGGAGAUGCAGACAGUUAUAGUAACAGAAGAAGUUCAGAUCCUUAAAGCAGAGGAGAAAGAAGGAGAAAUAUCCUGUGAGGAAAAAGAUCUUACCCUCUCAGGCACUCAAAUACCUACCUCUGAGCUGCAGAGCAACUAUGGCAAACAAGGCUCAAAGGGUGACAGUGUACAAACACAGGUGAUGACUGCAACCUCAGCAAAACAGUGUAGCAGGCCCUGUAAAGAAGAUGGUAUGGGUGCUGAAAGUGAUGGGACCCGUGAUGAAGAAGCCCCAUCAGGUCUAAGCUCUGGCGGUGAUAAUAGACCAGAUAAAGGUAAAGAUUACAAUAGACCUAUUGAGCAGAAAUGGCAAUCGCACCACUCCAAGGACUCAAGGAGAUCCGGGAGAAACAUAGUGCCUCCACAGCGGUUCUCCUCCUAUGUCACAGAGCCCAGAAAGAUGUUCUAUGUUGCAUGUUUCUCUGAAAACAUCUUUAACCAGGAAACACAACAUGAAAAGGUUUUGACAUCUAGCACACUGGAUGCUUUCUCCAAAGAUCCAGAUGCUGAGGACACCAAGGUUGAAUCAAGAAGUGAAGCCCUUCUGUCCUCACCUGAGCACACAUCGAAGCUUGCCUUUGAAUCAACACAUGGAGAGCAAUGUGGACCAUCCUACACAGAAUCAAAAGGAUCUUUCCACAAACCAGGUCUUUCCACAAAGUGUGGCUGUCAAAGUGAAGAGUCCUACAAAACAGAGCUCAGACAAUAGGACAAAUGGCAGCGACUGUGCUGCCAAGCCUUGUGGAAGGCUGCGGUCAUCUCCAAAAAGACUACAGUACUCAAAGACAACGUCAAGAACGCUCCAAAACCCAUCCAAUAGGGAUGUCACCAGUGAAGUCUGCUACCUGUGCUGAGAGCCUUCCCAACUCCCAAGUCCAGUACACAAGUCCAAUAAAGCUCAUGUUUGUAUCACCAGUAAGGGAUAAGGAAGGGGUCAGAUAUAGUCUCAAAUCAGCAUCUUCUGGUUCUAGUGCACAUGAAUCCUUUGACCCAUGUGUAGAGUCUUCAUGGUCCGGGACACAAAUUGAGAGAACUGAUUCUGCUACUUCACAUGUAAAAUCAAUUUCUUCACCACUAAAGUCUGCUACCUCAGCUGCAAAAUUAGCUUUGUCACCGGCCAAGUCAGCCCCUUCUUCACCAGCCAAGUCGGCUUCUUCACCAGCCAAGUCAGCUUCAUCAUCACCUAAAAUAGGUUCCAGAAGAUCAGUCGAAGGUACCCCAACUAAGCGUGUAUCUGGAGCUGACAACCAGAGAUCACCAGGUGACUCAAUAUCUUUCCAUGAAAACACUCCAAAAAGGCGUCCGGGCCGGCCAAAGAAGCUGGGACCACAGCUUGAGCAAAAGGCAAAGAGGCCCAUUGGUCGACCACGCAAGGCUGUGGAUUCAGUAAUGGGGGCAAAAACGGUAAAUGGAAAAUCUGUUAUAGCAUCUGACAUUGAGGAGAAUGUAAACAAGAACCUUAAGAUAACAGUAAUGUAUGGCCGUUCUAGGAGAAACAAACGAGUGGUGGCUGAGGGCUUUGACCAGCUGCAAACAGAAUUCCAUGAUGCUUGUCAGGCAGUGGGCCUUAAAAAUGACUUGGGCAUUUUAAUGCACAACUCUAAGACCAGCUCAGGUAGUAUCAAAACAGCCUCAACAGAAUUGUCAGAGGAAUUAAAUUUUGUCAGCCCUGUAAAAGAGUCUGCCCCUCAAUCUAGCAGCAACAUCAAAUGUCAGAAACGAGAUGAUUCUGCACCCUCAAGGAAACCAGGAAGACCUGCUAAAGUUAAAAUAUCUGGAAUCUCAGUCACAGUUACCACAGUGUCACCUCGGCAGCGUAAAAUUCAGAUAAAUAAGGAUACUCGGCAGUCUCCAAUUCAAAAGAAAGUACUCCUACCAGAAUUCAAAUCUGCCAAAGAGCCCUGGACAAUCAGUCGUCAGUCAACAAGCAAAAGUGGUCAAACAGAAGAAGGGAUAGAAAUAAAGGAUCAAAGUAAAGACAAACUGCCAAAUCAGCCUGUAGCAGUGCGUCACUCUAUGAGAGUGAGAAAGCCCUCAAUUCACUUUCUGCAUGCUGUUGCCACCUCUAAAUCAUACAGCCACAGCAAUGCUCUUCUACGACGCUCCAAACAGCUCCUGCUGAACAAGGCCAGCAAUGAAAGGAGACAGGGGGAGCAACAGAGUAGUUUGGAGACUUCAAGGGAGAGAAGAUGGCUCUGUGGACAAGAGAAGAAUAACCUCUCUCAGGACCUGAGCAGAGUGGCGGAGGUGUCUGUAGACUCAAUCUAUACCCCAAAAGAGACGAUAAGGUGGUGGGCAGCAUCAGCUGAGAAAAAGACUAUGAACCAGGAGCUUGCCAGGCGAAUAAGACUCAUCUCUGACACUUGGGUUUCAAACACUGUGAACCAAGAAAAAGAAACUGCCUUCAAUUCAAAACUAGGCACUAAAGGCAAGAGUUCGUUUACCAGGAAGUCGAAACAUUCCUCCAUGGUCCGAACGCUGUUCGACUGUCCUCCUGACGAACCACGGUCUUGUAGCAUGCAGCAGGUCUGCUCCUGGUUUAUGAAGACCACAGAGACGCAGUCCCUGGCUAUUGUCAAAAAGGCCAGCUCCCGUAAUCCUUACGAAUUCAUGCACUUCCCUCGUUCUACCACCAAUGAAGAGAGUGUUAGCCCAAGUCCUCAGGCAGAGCGGCUACGCAAACACAUCAAGAAAUUUGCCAAAACCACGCCAAAAAGUCCUUUGCAACACCAACAGGCUCAAAGCAGGUUGAGGAAGAGAAAUGAAAGUAUUAGGCGACAACUUUUCGGUCCCAGUUUUGCAACAGGCAGGCUCAAUCAAGGAGCGCAAUGGUGGGGAAGCAGAGCAUUGUGCGAAUACCAGACAACUGUUUUUAGAGCAAGGACAAGGUUCCUAACACGAAAAGAAAGGGAGAGGUGGCUGAAGAGGCAGAGGAAUAAGAAAAACAUAAAAGUAGCUAUAAGUCGUUCAAAUGGACAUGUAGUGACUGGACUACAACAAAAACGUAAAGCAUUACGCAGAUCAGCAAAAGAUCAGUUAUCUGACUCUUUGGAGGACAGUUCUGCCACCAGCUCUGUUGACCAAACUCAGGAGCAUGUGGAUGUAGCCAAAGAGCUGAACCUCUGCUCUAAAGCCUGGAGUCCCGAGACACUGAAGGAAUGCCGAGUGUUUUUGAGGAAGAUCAACUCCCCAGACAAUGAAUCAACUGAGGAAGAGUGGGAUUCUUGUACUGUGACACUGGAUGACGGGUCACCUUCUGCAUACCUCUUUGCAGGAAGGAAGAGAGAACUGGUAGGAGUUGUUAAAGCUGUGAAAACUGAAAGAAAAAGGAGCACUACAUCAAGAGAGCUAGCCGGUUCUGAACCUAAAUCAGUCCAGGAGCAGGAUGAGAUGCCAGUGGGGAGGAAGAAAGGCAAAUACAAAGGUCCUGGGGUUGUGUCUACUGAACCACCACAACCACCACCAGCGAAGAUGUUGAGACAAUCGCGAGUGAGGGGCCUAACCGGGCCGAGAUGGUGCGACUUUGUGUUUGAAAACUAAAUGAAGCAUGAAGCCCCCUCCUGCCUGGGGAAAGGGACUGUGGUUUAACGUGGUGCCUUUGGACAUUUGAGCUGACCACGUGGACGGACCAUCCCACGAUGGUUCAGUCUUACACUCAGCAAUUAUGUAGCAGUCUAACUUAACAAAAGCUUGAUCUUGCACUAUUUUUAUCCAUGGAUAUGUAUGUACAGAAAGGUUAGAUUUUCUUUUUUUUAUUGCCUUUUGUCUUUCUGAACACGUAUAGUAGAUCAAAUCAUUACGUCAAACAGAGUUUAUUGGGAUAAGUGCUUAUACAGUGCGCCCUGUCAGAGUGGCUGUAUUGGAAGGAAAGGCAAAGCUUGACUGCAUAAAGAUAGUGCCACCUCCCCCAAAACAUACCUCAUUAUCAAGGCCCCCACUUAUUUAAGACAAUGCCCUUUUAUUGUAAAUCUUUAAACUGAAACCAUACAAAUGUACAGCCCUGAAUUUAAUUAUUUUUUAUUUAUAGUCCCCCAUACUUUAACCGCACCGUUUAAAUUAAAACUUUUUAUUUUAUUUUUUAAGAUUUGGCAGAAGUAUAUUGAUCUCUCAAUCCGAGCCUUGUUUGCAAUAUUUUUCUUUGACGCUUCAGUCACUGUUGUAUUGCAAGCCAGUCGCCAAACAUGUGUGAAUGAUGGACUCUUUAUUAUUUGUUUUCUUUAUGAAAGAAGCCCCAUCUUUACCCCAAACACUCUGUGUGUGUGUGUGUGUGUGUGUGUGUGUGUGUGUGUAUGGGCCCCAGAUAUAAAAUGGUGUAUUGAACUACAGUAAUUGGCCAUCCACCUGUACUAAAAACCAAAUAUGUUAUGUCAUUAUUUCUUUUAAAGUAUAUUUCAAACAAUAUUGGCAAUUAACCCCAACAUACAUGUUCUAUGAGACUACAUAUUCAGCCCCACAAAAUCUAGUCAUAUGUGAAGUGAUGGAAGAAAUGGCGUUGUAGAGUUGUAAAGUAGAUUCUGAUUAAUUUGUUGGUUUGUGGGAUCUGUCUUGUUUCAUUUCCGUUAUCUUUGUGAUUGUCGUCUUGUUUUAACCCAAAGCAGAUACUGUAUGUAAGUGUCGGAUCUACUUCUUGCACUAUUCCAUCUGAGAUUAUUAAUCCCACUACACAAAUUCCUCCCCUAUAUUUUGCACAUCCCGUGUCCCACUACCAAACCUUACUGUAAAACUAUAGAAUCUAUUUGGUGCAAUACAAACCCAGAUGAUUUAUCAGUAUGUAGUAAUUAUUGUAUUGCUGACAGAUGAAUGGAUGUACACAAGUACCGAUGGCCUGGGAUGUUACUUCAGUAGUUUCCACAGCCAUGUAAUGUGAUUUUAAAGGAUAUUGCUACACAUACCUUUUUUUUCCCCCACCUGUUUGUUCUCCUCAAUGAAGCGGAAAAAUAACAGAUCCUUAAUUGUUUAUCAUAAAUGUACUAGCAUUAUUUACUGUUUAAAUGCAGGUGGGAAGUGUGUUGAUGUUAAUAUUUCCUUAGUUUCUGUUUUUGCAGCAAGAUGCCAACCUCCAUUGGUGCUCAGCCUACUGCUCUUUGCUUAUCAACCGUGUGAUAGACGAGGCCAGAGAGAUGAUUAACACUAAUCUUGGAUCAGUAUCAUGUUAGAGGGCAGUUAGAUCUAAGAUGUCUGGCUGUAGGUCAAAGCUUAAACCUGUAGUGUGUAUUGUGUGACUACCCUCGUAUGUAUGUCGCUAUGGUUGCCGUUUCAACACGAGGGAUGUGGGGGGGCCCCAGUCUUGUGAUCAGCGCUCUGUUGAAGAACCUGGUGCUAAACAUCUGUUGUAUAUUUUCUUUAUCAUGUGUUUUUAUACUGUCCAUUACAGAUGCAACAAAGAGGUGUCUGUGAUAGGAACAAUAAAGUCUUUUGAAAUAAC